GCUGCUAUGAGCCACUCUGCCCACUCUGCUCUGGGAUAGCUCUGCUCUGUCUAUGGAGCAGUCAUUUGGCUGGACACUGUUGCUGUAAGAACUUGCUUUUCUUGAAUUGUUUCCUGAGCAAAGCCAAGAACUCUCCCAGGGUGAGCCCCAAUUCUGGGGUUCACUUGUAUCAGCCUGGCAACCAUGAAGGAAUAAACAACACUGAACAAGAUGAACAUGACAAAGGGGCUCAGUAAAAAUUGGGGCUCUGGAGCUAUAACACUAUGGAGCUCUAACUCUAUAAGGCUGUAGAGCUGUACAGGAGCCAAAGGCUCUUUUUAGAGCCAAUCAUCAUUCCUGGUGACUAAUAAUCUAAGCAAAACUGAGGGAAACCUUCACCCAGAUGCCAAUUUAAGACCAAUCAACACCAUAUGGCUUCGAAGGACAGAUCACACAGUCACUCUUCAUCACAGCUGGAGAAUCUGAAUUUACGAGUAUCUUGCAUCAAAACGCUGCCUCAGAGAGAACAGAAAGUGAAAAUACAGAUUCCUGAAAUCAUACAAUAAGAGUAAAUGGGGCAUAGGAUUGGACAGUUAAGAAGAUGGGUGCACCAAGCAAGUGGUAUGCAGUAAUUAAGGUAAAUACUGGGUUUUGAGAAC
rnacentral:lncRNA from 10 species